GGGAAAGGCCAAGCCAUUUCUAGGGUGCUGU
rnacentral:piRNA from 1 species